AGAGGAGCCUGUGGGCAGCUCCCACUCCAUACCAGUGAUUACACAUCUGCGUGGCCUUGCCUUUAUCUCACAGCACACCAAGAAGUUCUCAUGUGAACAUCCUCUCUGUUUAACGCAGAAAUAAUGAAUUGAGUUGUUUUCUUGUAAGAAAAUCCUAUAAAAGCUUGAAUGACCAGAGCAGACUAAUCCUUCCUUCUGGUGGGGUCUGCAGGGCAUGCUGCUACUCUCCGGUGCUGCACAACACGGAGUUCCCAGCAUCUAAAGGCAUACGCUGGACCACUAUGGGUGCCUAGCCGAUGGACCAAACCAGCCGUGAAGGAUUUGAAGAACAAUCAGAACACUGAUGCCCUCAGUCAGUCACUGAUUGGCCGCCAGCUGACAUCACAAGAGCAGCAGAUAUCACAAGAGCAGCAGAUGUUUCAAGACUGAAUCGUGUUAAAUCAUAGUCUGUGAGAGAAAUUCUGUAGAAGAUCUAAAAGAGUGUAGAGACUCCAUCUAACCGUAUAUAAAGUAAAUUGCAGUUGUGUGUUUACCCUUUCAGCAAAUUGCUUUCAUGCUUAGACUGCAUAUAAACCAGAGCACGUGUGUUAAAGGUGGUUAAAUAAUACUUUAAGAUAAAGUUUAGCCUGUGUGGUAAUUGUUAUAUUAGUAUAAAGUAUAAGUAUUUCCCCUUCAAGAGGCAGUGUAAGCAUAUUUGAAAGUUCAUUUAACGUUAAAGCCUUAACUGUGAUUCUGCAAGCAUGGUGUCAUUUGCAUGGAACAAACUGCUUAUGGUAAUUGUGCUGUGUAUAGUCCCAACUGUCUGCUAACUAACAUCCAAAAGCGACAGAACAUAUGGGUCACUCUGGCACACUUGACAGGCCAAAAAUCAAUGUGUUUGAGCCUAGCCACACCUGGAGAUCCUUUUCGCACCUGUCUCAUAGGAGUCCCUGAAUGGGAUCCUCAAGCAUUUAAAGGUUUAGUUAGUAAUGAGACUCGACUGAAUCGAUCAGCAAUGUUGCAAGAGUGCAACCGCACUAUUGGCCUCACAUCAAGACAACUUGACGCCUGCUGGCAAGCGAAAAUUAUUGAAGUUCUUAAUGUUCCCAUAGAGCCCCCAGAAGAAUUGGAUUUGUUAGGUUCCACCAAUACCUCAGGUGGAUGAAUAAUGUUUGAACCCCUGACAGAAAGCCACUCCAACAAAGUGAUGCAACACUGAGCUACAGUUAACCCUAUAGUUGAUCUCAUUACUAACAUUGAAAGUAAAGCUUUUUAUUCAUGGUGCAAUCUUACAGGACAAUUACCAAAGCAAUUACCUAGUUCAAUAUUCCUAAUUUGUGGAGAUAGAGCAUGGAAUGGAAUUCCUGCUAGUCCACAUGGAGGACCCUGUUAUCUUGGGAAACUUACUUUGUUCCAUCCAAGCUUGCAUCAAUUGCUGAAUGUAACUGAUAAAAUAAAAAACAUCAAACGGUCAAAGCGAAGCCUGAAUGAAUUACAAUGUGAUGAUUUUAAAGAGCCAGACUUUUGGAAUCAUGGUAUAAUAUGGGCAGCCUCCUUCUUCAUUCCAGGAGCAGCUGCUGCUAAAGGAUUAGCAACUCGAAAAAGGCUCGCUUGCUGGACUAGAAAAGAAUUGAACUUAACAUCAACAAUGUUAAGUGAACUUUUAGCUGAUGUGAGUAGUGUACAUCAUGCAAUAUUGCAAAAUCGAGCUGCAAUUGACUUCUUACUCUUAGCACAAGGACAUGGUUGUGAAGAGUUUGAAGGCAUGUGCUGCUUGAAUCUUAGUGAUCAUUCAGUUUCCAUCCAUAAGCAACUACAACAGCUACAGGAUGGGUUACAUGCUCUGAAAGAAGAUAGUGACCCCAUUGGAAGUUGGUUUGCCAGCUGGGGCAUCACUGGAUGGUUGAGGCCUCUUGUGCUAGAAGGGGGACGGAUUUUACUUAUGGCGUUAAUUGCAAUGAUGUUUUUAUGUUGUAAGUUAUCUUGUCUUCGUAGAAAUGUAGAACGAGUUGCAUCCAAACCCUGGCUUGUGCAAAAAGAGAUAGGGGGAAUUGUAGAUGAUUUUUUAACAGAAGGUGGACAUGAUAUAUUAGUAAAGGCCUGUCUGCACAAACCAGCCUUUGGUAUAAGUCGUGAUAUUAAAGGCUAAAGUCCUUGAAACUUUCCUGCAAGAGAGAAAAUAAAGCAAAACAAUAUCCUUUUGUAUGAUAGAAAAAAUGUAAACCUGUGUGUAUUAGCCAAUAGUAACUUGCUUAGUGCGUGGACCCUGUAAAACCCUAUAAAAGGUGUGCUAAAGAUAGAAAUAAAUAAGCGUUCACUUUUACUUCUGUGAACACUCGUGAAUAGCCUGAGUGGUUUCUCAAUAUAGAAGCAAUAAGAGAGCAUCCAAUCUAUGUAUCUAUGGAUGAGCUUUAAAGCCUUUUAUCCUGGAUACAGACAGAAUUCCCAGACAUGUGUGAUAAAUGUAACUUGGGAUAAAAAUUCGUGAAAGAAUAAAAUAAGCAUGUAAUUGUA